CCCCAUUAUCCUCUAGGAUUAGGGUUAGGGUUAGGGUUUUUCCCGAAAAGGGUAGCGCACAUUCACUUUCUCUGUCACCAUGAGAGCUAAGUGGAAGAAGAAGAGAAUGAGGAGGUUAAAGAGGAAGCGCCGAAAGAUGAGACAGAGAUCCAAGUAGUCAUAUUUUUCGACUUGUUCGUGGCCUUUUAUUACUUUUGUUCUAGGGUUUUGGAUCUUAUAUUGUCCUUAAAUUUGUCAGUUAUUGAUGAAAAACUUGAGUUUGUUGAUCACUUUCUUUUGAUGAUACAUUUUGAAGUUUUUAUCGGAGUUCAUUUUGAUA